AUAAAUACAUCAGUCUUCUAGAAAAGAACAUCAUCUCUUCUGGCUUUGCCAUUUCAUCUUCUCAAACUUUUGCGUCUCAUCUUGGGUAAAGGACUCAGCCAAAUAUGAAGAUCCUUGCCUUGGCCUUCAUCAUGGCUCUCAUGUUUGCCAUGAUUGGAGCAGAUUCUUCAUCUGAAGAGAAACGUCGUUUCUUUAGAGGCGGAUACUAUGGAGGGUAUCCAUUUCAACCAUAUCCAUAUCCACCGGCAUAUCCAUACCCUUAUCCAUAUGGAAGAAAGUAGUAAGCACAGUAUGGAUUAUAGAGUCCUGGUCAGAAGUCUUCUUUGCUCUCUACUCAUGACCAUUCUUCUUACUCAAGAAUGAUUUCCCCUUCUAGCAACAUAUUAUCAGCCCACGUACAAUAAAAGCAUCCAAAGUGAAUUUGAAAGCAUCUUUCAUAAAACAAUUCCAAAAGUAGAGCACUAUUUGUAUUCUCUCAUGUAUUAGAUUGGGACUUAAAAAAUGUAACCCAUCAAUAAGGUUUCUGUGUACAAAUUCCAGCUGUGAAAAAAAAGCCAAUUGAAUCAUGGUAGAUGAAAAACACACACCCGAGAUCAGUGAUCUAUAUUUCUAAUGCAGUGGUAAUGAUAUUCUCUUCACUAUUUGAUUGUUUUUUAUUUUGUUCACUUUAUUGAAGUAUCAUAAAACUAUACAAAAAAUCUUUCCUCACACAAUAAAUCAGUCUAUGAAGCAAAUAUCAGAUAUAUCAUUGUUUUAAUUUCUUAGCACUGCUGAAAUAAAGUACAAAUUCUAGUGGCAAAAAAUAAAAAACAAGAGCAGAGCUUUGCUGUUUGUGAUAGGUCUAGGGUGCAAUUCAACUGUGCUUUCACUUUUUCUCUGGCAUUAUUGGCAAUGCUCGACAAUUCUUGGUUUGUAAGCCCAUCACUGCAAUCUCUAUCUCUGCUGUUACAAAGCUGUCUUCUCCUUCUAUGUCUAUUCUUAUAUAAACAUUAGUCAUAUUUAAUUAAGGACACACACAUUACUCCUGGAUAAAUAGGUCUUAACUAAUUACAUCCUGGCCAUUACC